GCGUGUAUAAUGAGAUUUUUAAAGCUGCCCAUUAAAAAAAAGGUCACUGAUUUAAAACCCGAAUUUGACGGUACAUCACUCUUUGGACAGUUCGAAGAUCCAAUCAGCUCUUUGAUCUCCUUUUACGCGGUGGCUCUUGAUCCGUCCAUCGCUGCGGAGGCCGCCAAAGCCGUUUUAAUUCACCUUUUGAAAUGGGAAAGCGAAGAGUUGAGCAAUGAUAUUAACAAUAAUAAUAACGAUGAAGAACUGGAAAAAAGGCGGGAACUUUCAACUACUUGCUAUAAGGCUGC